rnacentral:rRNA from 1 species
ACACAUGCAAGUCGAACGAAGCUACUAAAAGGAAGUCUUCGGAUGGAAUUUUGGUAGACUUAGUGGCGGACGGGUGAGUAACGCGUGGAUAACCUGCCUUAUACAGGGGGAUAACGGAGAGAAAUUUCCGCUAAGACCGCAUAAGACCACAGCACCGCAUGGUGCAGGGGUAAAAUAUUUAUAGGUAUAAGAUGGAUCCGCGUCCGAUUAGCUAGUUGGUGAGGUAGAGGCUCACCAAGGCGACGAUCGGUAGCCGGCCUGAGAGGGUGAACGGCCACAUUGGGACUGAGACACGGCCCAAACUCCUACGGGAGGCAGCAGUGGGGAAUAUUGGACAAUGGGGGAAACCCUGAUCCAGCGACGCCGCGUGAGUGAAGAAGUAUUUCGGUAUGUAAAGCUCUAUCAGCAGGGAAGAAAAUGACGGUACCUGACUAAGAAGCCCCGGCUAACUACGUGCCAGCAGCCGCGGUAAUACGUAGGGGGCAAGCGUUAUCCGGAUUUACUGGGUGUAAAGGGAGCGCAGACGGCGAAGCAAGUCUGAAGUGAAAUGCAUGGGCUCAACCCAUGAAUUGCUUUGGAAACUGUUUGGCUUGAGUGUCGGAGGGGUAAGCGGAAUUCCUAGUGUAGCGGUGAAAUGCGUAGAUAUUAGGAGGAACACCGGAGGCGAAGGCGGCUUACUGGACGA